rnacentral:rRNA from 1 species
UGGGCAACCAUGAGUAUAGUGGCGUACGGGUGAGUAACACGUGGGUAAUCUGCCUCUUAGUGGGGAAUAACCCUGGGAAACCGGGGCUAAUACCGCAUAAGCUCGAGAGAGGAAAGCAGCGAUGCGCUGAGAGAGGAGCCCGCGGCCGAUUAGCUAGUUGGGAGGGUAAAAGCCUACCAAGGCAAAGAUCGGUAGCCGGCCUGAGAGGGCACACGGCCACACUGGCACUGAAACACGGGCCAGACUCCUACGGGAGGCAGCAGUGGGGAAUCUUGCACAAUGGGGGAAACCCUGAUGCAGCGACGCCGCGUGAGCGAUGAAGCCCUUCGGGGUGUAAAGCUCUUUCGGCAGGGAAGAUGAUGACGGUACCUGCAGAAGCAGCUGCGGCUAACUACGUGCCAGCAGCCGCGGUAAUACGUAGGCAGCAAGCGUUGUUCGGAGUUACUGGGCGUAAAGGGUGUGUAGGCGGUUCUUUAAGUUUGGUGUGAAAUCUCCCGGCUCAACCGGGAGGGUGCGCCGAAUACUGAGGGACUCGAGUGCGGGAGAGGAAAGUGGAAUUCCUGGUGUAGCGGUGAAAUGCGUAGAUAUCAGGAGGAACACCGGUGGUGUAGACGGCUUUCUGGACCGUAACUGACGCUGAAACACGAAAGCGUGGGUAGCAAACAGGAUUAGAUACCCUGGUAGUCCACGCCCUAAACGAUGCAUAUUUGGUGUGGGUCAUUCAGUUGAUCCGUGCCGGAGCUAACGCGUUAAAUAUGCCGCCUGGGGAGUACAGUCGCAAGGCUGAAACUC